GCUUGCCCCCCCCACCUUCUUGCCAGGAGACCCCUGCGCUAGGCAAACAACAAAUCCCCCUUCCUUCCUUCCUUUUUUUUUUGGGUUACAUUUCCUUCCAACAUCAGCCUUCACUACAAAGCAAGGGAUAUUUUGUCAGGUGGGCUGGUGGUUACGGCUGAGCAUCUCCUGCAGGGUGUGUGUGUGCUGAGGACUGCGUCUGUAAUACCCCCCACCCACCCCCCAGAAGGCAGAUACUGUCCCAGGGCGACCCUCGCCUUUGCUAGCGUUGCGUAAUGCGCACAGGCAACACGAGAAAACGGCAGCCAGAACGUUAGAUAACAAUUUUUUUUUAAUAUAUCGGAAGACUGUAUUUAUUCCUUACCGACUCUGAUUUUUCCCCCUGCCCUCCCACCGGUUCUCCUUCAUCUUUUCCCAGCUUGAAAGCAGUCACGAUUCUGCAACCCACCAGCCUAGAGGAGUGGGGCGGAGGUUGAGGGCUGCCUUUGCCAGCCUCUCCCCUCUUCCCCUCCUCCAGCUGAUGGCUGUAGUCCCGGAAGAUCAGAGCUCAACUCCGUUAGGUGUGUGCAAACACACCCGACCCCUUCCACCUUUCCCGUGGGUUCUGCGUCGCCGCAGAGAAACUGUUCGGUUUGCCCAGGCGCUCAGAGCUCAAGGGGAAGAGCUGUUCCGUUACCUCUGCCAACUGUGGAUUAGCCUCAGCUGGGCUAUUACUGGCCACCGUCCCCAGCUCAGUACGGAGCAGGGGAGGGGGGCUUCUGGUAAUUUUGGGGUGGAGACAGGAAGGGGAUUGGGGAAGGGGAUUCGGGAAUUGUGUAGGGCUGACCCUUGGCUUUUGGGCCCCCUUCAUUCCAGCCUCGCAGGGAUUGUUACGCGUUCCGGGGAGGGGAAAAUUCAUCGGGGCAUUUUGACGACUCUCCCGUCUUGAGAUCUGCAGGCUUCGGGGAUCCGUUUGUCCAGGGGGUGGGGAGACUUAACACCGCUUCCGGGGCUUUAUCCUCUCAAGAUCCUUCUCGACCUCUUCCCUGUGACUGAUUUGGAGGGAUCACUCUUUUAGUCCAGGAUAUGCUGCUGGUGGGAUCUCGGGAAGGUCAGGGUCCUCUCUCUAGUUGGGACCUUCCAAUUCUGAUAUUGCACAAGCUUGGUUUCUUGAGAGAGAGAGAGAGAGAGAGAGAGAGAGAGAGAGACAAAGACCUCAAUCUCAGCGGAGAUGUGCAGAAUCUGUCUUGUGGCUCCUGGUUCCCUCCCUUCCUUCCCCUAGCUUGUGCGUUUUACGUUUUUGUCGCCAGAGGAUAAAACUGCCUGGGGGUGGGGGAAUCAGGCCUGAGGGGACCAGCUUUGCCAAAGGGCUGAAGAACUGGGAAAUGGAGAAAUUUGGUGGUUUGUUUGUUUUUUUGUUGCUCCUAUUCCCCGCCCCCCCAAACACCCACACCUUCUUGGGACCUUCCCUUCUUGCUCCCGCUCUGGCAAGGCAUCGUCAUUUCGGCUUUUCCAAACUGAAACGAGGCUGCUUUCUUCCCCUAUCGUGGCCGAAAAGAGAAACCAGCGAAUAUUCCAGAAGCACUUUGGAGGUUCUUAUUUCCAUGCUGACCAUGGAGGGUUUUUAUACAUCCAGGAUUUCCUCUCCACUCGCCCUCCUACCUAUUUGAGCUAUUUUACUGUCUGUAAUUAAACAAAAGAUGUUAAAAUAAAGUAACUAUUGAAAGACCUGCCAGGUUGGGUACAGCCUCAGUUUUUUCCUUCCCAAACGCUUCAUUCUUAAAACCCCAAUCAACUCGGACCCCAAAUAUCUGGAAGAUGGCCCCCUUCCCCACAGGCGUGCUCUGGUGUGUUAAGAUCAGCAGAGGAGGGUACCUCCUCCCUCUGAAGCUCAGGGGGGUAGGUUGGGAGAGGGCCUUCUCUGUGGCAGCCCCUAAAUCAGGGACUCUCAAACUUUGGUCCCCAGCUGUUGUUGGACUACAACUCCCAUCAUCCCUAGCAAGCAGGACCAGGGGUGGGGGUGAUGGGAGUUGUAGUCAAACAAGAACCGGGGACCCAUAGCUGUUGUUGUUUUUAAAAAAACCACAUUUAUUUACAUACAGACAUAAACACACAAACGCUACAUACCAAGGAAAAAUAAUAGAAACAUUGAACAACCUACUUAAACAUACAAAAAGUUAAAAUUACCUACACCCAUGUGACUUCCCUCCACCAGUGCUCGUCUUCACUUAGCCUGUAAUUUUUUUAUUCACAUUGCAAUUUUUAUCUCUGAACCUCUUGUUUUACUAUUGUUUUUUCUAGAUCAACUUUACAAACUUAAUCUAAACAGAUCAACGUGUUGUUUUUGGUGCAGUGUUUGCUCAUAUAGUGUUCAAACCAUUUCCAUUGUUGCCUUAAUUCUGGUUUGUUUGAUAUCUUAUUGCUGCGGUUAGUUUUGCCAUUUCAAUGAAUUCUGUUAAUUUGUUUAGCCAAUAUUCUUUUGUGAGGAUGUGAUUUCCUUUCCAGUAGGAGCCUUGCUGCGGCAGUAGCGUAUAAAAAAUAGUGUUUUCCUGUCUUGUGGUAUAUCCUUGCCCAGUAUACUCAAUAAAUAAGCCCCUGGGUUUUUUCCUAUAGAGAUUUUGAGCAUCUUUUUAAAUUCCUCUUUAAAUUCAACUCCCCAAAUUUUUAACUCUUCCACAGCCCCACCAUGAGUUCAUCACAGUACCCUCCACCUUCUUACAUUUCCAACAAAGACUGGAUUUUGACUUCCCUAUUUUGGCAAGCUUUGUGAAUUUAUUUCCUUCACCACACGGUCCGAGGGGAGUUUACAACAAUAUAAAAAUGCAACCUUGAAAUAAGUUAGGACAAUUUACAGUCGCAAGAAUAGGGUGGGCCUUCAAAUAGGUAGCAUGUGGUUCCUCCAGCCUAUCGGGAGAGGGACGUUCACCUGCAAAGAGGGACGCCUGCUAUGGAGACCCUCUCUUGAAGGUAGAGGGCCUCUUGCUCUGGCUGCCCUGCUAGCAGUGAGGGCAUAAAGGAGCUAUGGCCUCGGCCCAGUAUAUCUGAAGGAGCAUCUCCAGCCCCAUUGUUCUGCCCGGAUGCUGAGGUCCAGCUCCGAGGGCCUUCUGGCGGUUCCCUCACUGCGAGAAGCCAAGUUACAGAGAACCAGGCAGAGGGCCUUCUCGGUAGUGGCACCCGCCCUGUGGAACGCCCUCCCUUCAGAUGUCAAAGAGAAAAACAACUACUAGACUUUUAGAAGACACCUGAAGGCAGCCCUGUUUAGGGAAGCUUUUAAUGUUUGAUGCAUUACUGUAUUUUAAUAUUUGGUUGUGAGCUGCCCAGAGUGGCUGGGGAAGCCCAGCCAGAUGGGCAGGGUAAAAAUAAUAAAUUACAGUAGUACCUCGGGUUAAGUACUUAAUUCGUUCCGGAGGUCCGUUCUUAACCUGAAAGUGUUCUUAACCUGAAGCACCACUUUAGCUAAUGGGGCCUCCUGCUGCUGCUGCGCCACCGGAGCACGAUUUCUGUUCUCAUCCUGAAGCAAAGUUCUUAACCCGAGGCACUAUUUCUGGGUUAGCGGAGUCUGUAACCUGAAGCGUCUGUAACCCAAGGUACCGCUGUAUUAUUAUUAUUAUUAUUAUUAUUAUUAUUAUUAUUAUUAUUAUUAUUUAUUAUUAUUCUGGGGGAUUGCCAGGGGUGGAAGGCAAAGGUCUUUGGUUCCACCAGUAUGCACAGAAAGCCUUGGAACUGGGUGAGGAGAUUUCACCCCUCCCAUACCCAAGAAUCUCCUGAUGAUCUCCUGAUGGUCUCUGCUGACUCUCCAGAGAGGAGGAGGCGUGUCCUGCUAUCUACUUAUUCUGCUCAGCACCACAUCAAUCAGUCAGUGUGUCAGUGUGUGAGAGAGUCAGUCAGUCAGUGUAUCGGAGAGAGAGAGAGAGUUAGAGAUCGUAGAGAUAAGGUUGCUGCUAAGAGCAGCUGCAGACUCUCAGUGUAGCAUUGAUUUAUGCUUAGAAUAUAUUCAGCUCUGUAUAUAGUUUUGUAUCAUAGUUGUAGUUACAGAAUAAAAGGAAGAUAUUCUACAGAGCUGCUCUCCGAGUGGUUCAUACUCUGCAAGACUCUGCUGCGCAACGACUGUAUUAUUGAGACAGUGAAUCCGGUGCUCUCAGCUCUAAGCUGUGAGUCCACAGCACUGUGACCUGUUCCUGUGAGAAAGGAGGUCUCUGGCGGUGCUACCCAGCUCGCCUAGCCCAGUCGGGGUUGAGGUGCAUGAGUCCAGUUGGUGCACUGGCUCAAGGGCGAUGCUGACACUGGGGUGGUUGUUUUGCUUCCCUUUGAAAGGAAUGGGACUUCUUGCUGAGAUAAGGUAAAGGUAAAGGGACCCCUGACCAUUAGGUCCAGUCGUGAUCAACUCUGGGGUUGCGGCGCUCAUCUCACUUUAUUGGCCGAGGGAGCCGGCGUACAGCUUCCGGGUCAUGUGGCCAGCAUGACUAAGCCGCUUCUGGCGAACCAGAGCAGUGCACGGAAACGGCGUUUACCUUCCUGCCGGAGCAGUGCCUAUUUAUCUUCUUGCACUUUGACGUGCUUUCAAACUGCUAGGUGGGCAGGAGCAGGGGCCAAGGAACAGGAGCUAACCCCGUCACCGUGAUUUGAACCGCCGACCUUCUGAUUGGCAAGCCCUAGGCUCUGUGGUUUAACCCACAGUGCCACCCGCGUCCCCUUCUUGCUGAGAUAGCCCCCCCCCCUUACUGUCCUUUCGCAUCCAGGGAGGAAAGGAUUUAAAAGGGGGUGGAGUGGGGGCUCUGAGCAAAUUGACAUUUCAGCCAAUGAAGCAAUGAAGGCCGAGGAAAAGAAACCAGUGGAGUGCUGCCCCCAAAACUAUGAGGGAAUCAGUG
rnacentral:lncRNA from 1 species